UACGUAGGGUGCGAGCGUUAAUCGGAAUUACUGGGCGUAAAGGGCGCGUAGGCGGCCUUCUAAGUCAGACGUGAAAUCCCUCGGCUCAACCGAGGAACUGCGUCUGAUACUGGAAGGCUUGAAUCCGGGAGAGGGAUGUGGAAUUCCAGGUGUAGCGGUGAAAUGCGUAGAUAUCUGGAGGAACACCGGUGGCGAAGGCGGCAUCCUGGACCGGUAUUGACGCUGAGGCGCGAAAGCUAGGGGAGCAAACGGG
rnacentral:rRNA from 1 species